rnacentral:rRNA from 1 species
CCUACGGGAGGCUGCAGUAGGGAAUCUUCCACAAUGGGCGAAAGCCUGAUGGAGCAACGCCGCGUGGGUGAAGAAGGUUUUCGGAUCGUAAAACUCUGUUGUUAGAGAAGAAAGUGCGUGAGAGUAACUGUUCACGUUUCGACGGUAACUAACCAGAAAGCCACGGCUAACUACGUGCCAGCAGCCGCGGUAAUACGUAGGUGGCAAGCGUUAUCCGGAUUUAUUGGGCGGAAAGGGAACGCGGGCGGUCUUUUAAGUCUGAUGUGAAAGCCUUCGGCUUAACCGGAUUAGUGCAUUGGAAACUGGGAGACUUGAGUGCAGAAGAGGAGAGUGGAACUCCAUGUGUAGCGGUGAAAUGCGUAGAUAUAUGGAAGAACACCAGUGGCGAAAGCGGCUCUCUGGUCUGUAACUGACGCUGAGGUUCGAAAGCGUGGGUAGCAAACAGGAUUAGAUACCCUGGUAGUC